AGUUUUUGUGAUUCUGAUUUUAAAAUCUCCGUUUUUAGCGCUGGAUUGAGCCUCCGAAGCUUCGCGCGUGUGAUUGAGUGUGCGCAUGCGCGCGUGGCCGCCAAAAAAUUGUGGCCCCCAUCCCCUCCAUGUUUUGAUAUUUUGUUUACAGAUACAGCAUGGAAACAGGCCCUUCGGCCCAGCGAAUCCACACCGACCAGCAAUUCCCGCACAUUCACACUACCCUGCAUACAUCAGGGACAGUUUUACAUGGUUUUACAUUUAUACCAAGCCAAUUAACCUACAAGCCUGCACGUCUUUAGAGCAUGGAAUGAAACCGAAGAUCUCGGAGAAAACCCGCGCAGGUCACAGGGAGAACGUACAGUUUCCGUACUAACAGCACCCGUAGCCAGGAUCAAACCCGGGUCUCUGGCGCUGUAAGGCAGAAGCGUUGGUGAUCCAGUGUAAUAUAUCAAAGGUACACAAAAUUGCUGGAGUAACUCAGCGGGUGCAGCAGCAUCUAUGGAGCGAAGGAAAUAAGCGACGUUUCGGGCCGAAACCCUUCUUCAGUGUAAUAUAUCAAUGUG